GACAGGGGGUGCAAACGUUGUUCGGAAUUACUGGGCGUAAAGCGCGUGUAGGCGGCUAAGUAAGUCGGGCGUGAAAUCCCACGGCUCAACCGUGGAAGUGCACUCGAAACUGCGUAGCUAGAGUCCUGGAGAGGAAGGUGGAAUGCUUGGUGUAGAGGUGAAAUUCGUAGAUAUCAAGCGGAACACCGGUGGCGAAGGCGGCCUUCUGGACAGUGACUGACGCUGAGACGCGAAAGCGUGGGGAGCAAACAGG
rnacentral:rRNA from 1 species